GACGAACGCUGGCGGCGUGCUUAACACAUGCAAGUCGAACGGAAAGGCCCUGCUUUUGUGGGGUGCUCGAGUGGCGAACGGGUGAGUAACGCGUGAGUAACCUGCCCUUGACUUUGGGAUAACUUCAGGAAACUGGGGCUAAUACCGGAUAGGAGCUCCUGCUGCAUGGUGGGGGUUGGAAAGUUUCGGCGGUUGGGGAUGGACUCGCGGCUUAUCAGCUUGUUGGUGGGGUAGUGGCUUACCAAGGCUUUGACGGGUAGCCGGCCUGAGAGGGUGACCGGCCACAUUGGGACUGAGAUACGGCCCAGACUCCUACGGGAGGCAGAAGUGGGGAAUAUUGCACGAUGGGCGGAAGCCUGAUGCAGCAACGCCGCGUGCGGGAUGACGGCCUUCGGGUUGUAAACCGCUUUCGCCUGUGACGAAGCGUGAGUGACGGUAAUGGGUAAAGAAGCACCGGCUAACUACGUG
rnacentral:rRNA from 1 species